rnacentral:rRNA from 1 species
CAAUAGCGUAUAUUAAAAUUGUUGCAGUUAAAAAGCUCGUAGUUGGAUUUCUGGUAUGCUGUGCUUGGUCCGGGCAUGUUUUACGUGCUUGUGUGCCGAUGCGCGGUUACCAUCCUUCUGGAUAACGAUUUCGCCUGAAAGGGUUGGAAUCGCGACCCAGAUCUUUUACUUUGAAAAAAUUAGAGUGUUCAAAGCAGGCAUACGCUAUGAAUACAUUAGCAUGGAAUAAUAAUUUAGGACUUUGGUUCUAUUUUGUUGGUUUCUAGGACUAAAGUAAUGAUUGAUAGGGAUAGUUGGGGGUGCUAGUAUUCAGCGGCCAGAGGUGAAAUUCUUGGAUUCGCUGAAGACUAACUUAUGCGAAAGCAUUCACCAAGGAUGUCUUCUUUAA